UACAGAGGUCUCAAGCGUUGUUCGGAUUCAUUGGGCGUAAAGGGUGCGUAGGUGGCGCGGUAAGUCGGGUGUGAAAUUUCGGAGCUUAACUCCGAAACUGCAUUCGAUACUGCCGUGCUUGAGGACUGGAGAGGAGACUGGAAUUUACGGUGUAGCAGUGAAAUGCGUAGAGAUCGUAAGGAAGACCAGUGACGAAGGCGGGUCUCUGGACAGUUCCUGACACUGAGGCACGAAGGCCAGGGGAGCAAACGGG
rnacentral:rRNA from 1 species